rnacentral:rRNA from 1 species
ACCCGCUGAACUUAAGCAUAUCAAUAAGCGGAGGAAAAGAAACCAACAGGGAUUGUCUUAGUAACGGCGAGUGAAGCGACAAAAGCUCAAAUUUGAAAUCUGGCACCUUCGGUGUCCGAGUUGUAAUUUGAAGAAAGUAACUUUGGAGUUGGCUCUUGUCUAUGUUCCUUGGAACAGGACGUCACAGAGGGUGAGAAUCCCGUGCGAUGAGAUGUCCAACUCUAUGUAAAGUGCUUUCGAAGAGUCGAGUUGUUUGGGAAUGCAGCUCUAAGUGGGUGGUAAAUUCCAUCUAAAGCUAAAUAUUGGCGAGAGACCGAUAGCGAACAAGUACAGUGAUGGAAAGAUGAAAAGAACUUUGAAAAGAGAGUGAAAAAGUACGUGAAAUUGUUGAAAGGGAAGGGUUUGAGAUCAGACUUGGUAUUUUGUAUGUCUUGCUUUCGGGUGGGGCCUCUGCAGUUUACUGGGCCAGCAUCGGUUUGGACGGUAGGAUAAUGACAUUGGAAUGUGGCACUACUUCGGUGGUGUGUUAUAGACUUUGUUGAUACUGCCUGUCUAGACCGAGGACUGCGUC